AAGUACUAUAAGGUAUUGUUACUUAUUACCAAAAACAUUUUUCGAUACGGUCCAAAAUUACAAUCUUUAUUAAAUUUGUUCCAUUUAAUAAUCUAAUAUAUUGUGAAGAUUGUACUAACUACUAAGUAUUAGUACUAGUGCUGUAGAAACAACGGUGCGGGCGGUUUAUUGCACCGGGGCCCCACAUUUCAAUUUCUAUAUGGGGCCCUACUUAAAUAAACUUAUAUAAAAAUUAAGAACCCAUAUACUAAUACAUUUUUUUUUCUGAGGAAUCAAGCAUAAUCACGUCCUCGUAUAAUUUUGUAUUAAAAUACAAAUCUGACAUCAAUAAAUCACUUCAGACUUUACCAGACAAGUUUUAUCAAUUUAAAAUUAAACGCUUCACGGUCAAAAAGACCGGGUUUUAAAAUUUGUUUCAUUGUUUCAAAAAUACGAAAUAUAAACCUAAUCCAACCUAGGUAGCUUCUAAUUAGGUGGUAAACUAAAAUUAGUUACAACUCCCAACUGUAUACUACCUAUUUUAUGUCAGAGAUAUAGAAGUGUUCAAAGUUCAUUACCAGACAUUACUGAUUAAUAUACGGUUAAAAAGACCGUGUGCGUGAUCGUAAAAAUCAAUAUUAUAGGUUAUUUUUAAAUUGUUUUUCUAAUAAUUUUUGCUCGAUAAACGAAAUUGAUAGUUAUGAUAUUUUCAUUGAGACUGGUGAUAUUAUUGCUAGUUGACUAUGAUUUUCGCCAUACUGUGUGUAACUAAAAAGACCGUGUGCGUGUAUUCUCGUGAAUAUUUUAAAUGCGUGUAAUCUAGGGUUAAUACAUAAUACAUUAUGAUGGUGUGGACGGAUCUGUGUACCAUCAAUUAUGCCAGCACUCCGUACCCAAUGUGAGCCUGUGUAAUGGGUCCACAGAUUAAAUUUGCACCGGGGCCCAUAUAGUUCUAACUACGGAACUGGUGAUUAGUACUUAAAUUAUUUUUAUUUUUAUUUAAAUAUUUUCAGACACUUCCUAAAAACAUUGUACAUAAAACAAAUUCUGAAAUUCUUAGUCACACAUAAAA